UACGGAGGGGGCAAGCGUUGUUCGGAAUUACUGGGCGUAAAGGGCGCGUAGGCGGCUUUGCAAGUUGGGCGUGAAAGCCCUGGGCUUAACCCAGGAAUUGCGCUUGAGACUGCUAGGCUUGAGUGCGGGAGAGGUGAGUGGAAUUCCCAGUGUAGAGGUGAAAUUCGUAGAUAUUGGGAAGAACACCAGUGGCGAAGGCGGCUCACUGGCCCGCAACUGACGCUGAGGCGCGAAAGCGUGGGGAGCAAACAGG
rnacentral:rRNA from 1 species